rnacentral:lncRNA from 1 species
UCAGCCUAUCAACAAUAACAACCCAUAUAGCAUCAAACUUCUUCUGAGUCAUCGGAAGGCCAGUAACAAAUCCAUGGUAAUUCUCUCCCUCUUCCACUCGGGAAGCUCAAUCUUCUAAAAUAAACCACCGGGCCUCUGAUGCUCAUACUUAACCUGCUGACAAUUUAGCCAAUGAGCCACGUAUGCAACAAUGUCGUUCUUCAUUCUGCGCCACCAAUAAUGC